rnacentral:rRNA from 1 species
UACGUAGGGUGCAAGCGUUAAUCGGAAUUACUGGGCGUAAAGCGUGCGCAGGCGGUUAUGCAAGACAGAUGUGAAAGCCCUCGGCUCAACCGAGGAAUUGCGCUCUAAACUGCAGUGCUUGAGGAACCUAGAGGUGAGCAGAACAGAUGGUGGAGCGGUGAAAUGCGUUGAUAUCAUCUGGAAUACCGGAGGCGAAGGCGGCUCACUGGGAGUUUUCUGACGCUGAGGAACGAAAGCCAGGGUAGCGAACGGG